GCAGACAUUUGAAAUCAACAAACUUGAGGCUGGGCCGCACCUAACGAAGUCCUGAAUUUAAGAAUUCUAAUUAUUUAUUAAAUAAUUAUCAUAAUUAUUAGCUUCCGACUAAAAGCAGAAGACGAACUUCCUCGGAAGAUUUUCAUCAUCCGAGUCCCAUAAAUAUUCAAAAAGUAAUUAGAAUUCUUAAAUUCAGGAUUUUGUUAGGUGCGGCCCACCCUUAAGUACGAAUAAAGUGAGAGCCCCAGUACCCAGCACCUAAUAGCUAACUGGUCAAAUGCUUUAAGUCGGACUCAAAAUAUAUAUAAAUCAUUACAUUACGAUAUUCAGCCUACCUUACAGAAACGUUCAUGUACAUUAAAUUAAAGAGAGACUACUUUUUUAUUAGCCAGUAGCUCUAUAAUUAUAAUUAUGUCUAGAAUUUAUUUGCACAUGUACAAUUUAAUGAAUAAAGCUUGGAUUUAAUAAUUGUCUCAUUAAGAAAUCCGCAGCCUACCAUAUGGAAAAGUACAUGUACAUUAAAUUAAAAACGGUCCUUUUUUUUGAAACCGGUUACUCUAAUUAUCUCAAUGCCUGUGACUCGUUUGUACAUGUACAAUUUAAUGAAUAAAGCUUGGAUUUAAUUAAUAAUCUCAUUAAGAUAUCCGUAGCCUAUCAUAUGAAAAAGUACAUGUACUUUAAAUUAAAAAGCCACUACUUUUUUAUUCGCCAGUAGCUCUAUAAUUAUAAUCAUGCCUGGAAUUUGUUUGUUCAUGUACAAUUUAAUGAAAAAAACUUGGAUUUAAUUAGUAUCUUAUUAAGAUAUCCGCAGCCUACCAUAUAAAAAAGCUUUCCAUGGCUCUAAAAUAUCCCAAAAAUUAGCAUUUGCAAUUUUUCUAAAUAAAAUGUACAUAAGUGAAAAGCUUGGAUGCGAGUAGGCUAGUUAUAUAGUGAAAGCAAUCGAUAAAUCUACUCUACAACUAGUUUCAUUUAACGAAAAUCAUAAUCACCCAAAAGAUAACAUUCCUGUUUAAAUAAUUUGUGCGAAUAAACUAUUAGAUGAUGCUGAAAGCAAACAAAUAAAGUCUAUAAUAAAUAAGUAUUUCAGUAAAAUCCAAGACAACGAAAGGAAACAGAAAGAAGCCGAUCAAUUGAUUGACGAGUUGAAGUUAAUCAAAGAAAAUAACAAAAACAUAGUGAAAGAGAAAAUUAAACUGAAAGAUUGCAGAAUUAUAUUGGAGGAAAUUAACGAAGAACAGCCGAUAAAGAAGAGAAAGAGAGAAUUAAAAGGGAAAAAUAGAUCCGGUUUAAAAAAAAUUAGGAGCAUUCUCUCUGUGGAGUCCGGAAAUGUACCUACUGAAAUGGUGGCGGGUGACAAGACUGAAAACGAAGUUCCUGAUGUCAAUGGCGGCGGUGAUGGUAACAGUGACCUGAAAAAUAACAAUCCAGUCGUAGAAGAGGACAAAGACUUGAAUGGUGAUGGCUGCGAUCUUCCGAUACCUGAAAAAACUGCUAAUGUACCUACUGGAAUGGUGGAUGGUGACAAGACUGAAAACGAAGUUAUCGACGUCGGUGGUAGCAGUGAUCGUAACAGUGACCUAAAAACCAAAAAGAAAAUGAAUAAAAAAGGAACACACCUACUGUCACAAACAAAAAAACAAAAAUCAAAAAACAAAGAAGACUGGACGUGCGCAAUAUGCAAGAAAAAUAAAAUAAUGAAAACGCAUGGAUGCAAACUCCAUGAUAUGUAGUACCAUGAACAAUGCAGUGAGGAUAAAAAUUUACUAGGUCGAAACCGAAAAAAUUUAUGUAUUGCA